UAAUAAUUAAGGUGGUAUUGUUAUAAAGCUUGAAAAAAAAAAUUGGUCUAUUUAAAAGUAAAACAAUAUUUUAAAAUAAUUUUUGUUUGCAAUGCAAAAAUCAAUAUAAAUCUUGUGACGCGCGGUGUUCAACUUUAGUCAGCGCCAGGCGCUUACCGAGGAGGGACGUAUCGCUCGCUGUUGCGCCGCGUAAACUCGCCGGAGUUCGAAAAAUAUAGCGCAACCUACGCAUCUAACACGUUUUGAUACUAGAUAAUGAAAGCAUAUUUAAUUCAGACUAUCAGACUCAAUUGAAUACCAGUACAAAUAAUAUGGAAAAUGAAGAUACAAUACAUGGAAGACGAAUUAUAGAUUUUAGUUUUUUUAUAAAUCAA